UGGGGAAUAUUGCACAAUGGGCGCAAGCCUGAUGCAGCCAUGCCGCGUGUGUGAAGAAGGCCUUCGGGUUGUAAAGCACUUUCAGCGGGGAGGAAGGCGUUAAGGUUAAUAACCUUGGCGAUUGACGUUACCUGCAGAAGAAGCACCGGCUAACUCCGUGCCAGCUGCCGCGGUAAUACGGAGGGUGCAAGCGUUAAUCGGAAUUACUGGGCGUAAAGCGCACGCAGGCGGUUGAUUGAGUCAGAUGUGAAAUCCCCGGGCUUAACCCGGGAAUUGCAUCUGAUACUGGUCAGCUAGAGUCUUGUAGAGGGGGGUAGAAUUCCAUGUGUAGCGGUGAAAUGCGUAGAGAUGUGGAGGAAUACCGGUGGCGAAGGCGGCCCCCUGGACAAAGACUGACGCUCAGGUGCGAAAGCGUGGGGAGCAAACAGG
rnacentral:rRNA from 1 species